UACGAAGGUCCCAAGCGUUAUCCGGAUUUAUUGGGUUUAAAGGGUGCGUAGGCGGGUUAUUAAGUCAGUGGUGAAAGCCUUCAGCUUAACUGAAGAACUGCCAUUGAUACUGAUGAUCUUGAGUAUGAUUGAGGUUGGCGGAAUGUGUCAUGUAGCGGUGAAAUGCUUAGAUAUGACAUAGAACACCGAUAGCGAAGGCAGCUUGCUACACAAUUAUUGACACUGAGGCUCGAAAGCGUGGGGAUCAAACAGG
rnacentral:rRNA from 1 species